AUGUCACCCUGACAUCCUGUCUUUUUCCCCAGAUCGGACCCAGCACAGGCAGCGUCAGUGCAAACUCCCCCCACCCCGCCUUCCACCGAUGUGUGUCAACCCAGCCCCUGGAGGGACCAUCUCUCGGGGUAAGAGAGGAGCCUGGUCUCCAACACCUGUUUGGU
rnacentral:sRNA from 1 species